rnacentral:rRNA from 1 species
AGAGAUUAUUGGGCCUAAGCAUCCGUAGCCGGCUCUGUAAGUUCCUCGGUUAAAUCUGUACGCUUAACGUACAGGCUGCCGGGAAUACUGCAUAGCUAGGGAGUGGGAGAGGUAGACGGUACUCGGUAGGAAGGGGUAAAAUCCUUUGAUCUAUUGAUGACCACCUGUGGCGAAGGCGGUCUACCAGAACACGUCCGACGGUGAGGGAUGAAAGCUGGGGGAGCAAACCGGAUUAUAUACCCGGGUAGUCCCAGCUGUAAACUAUGCAAACUCAGUGAUGCAUUGGCUUGUGGCCAAUGCAGUGCUGCAGGGAAGCCGUUAAGUUUGCCGCCUGGGAAGUACGUACKCAMGUAUGAAACUUAAAGGARUUGGCGGGGGACCACA